CCAGCUGCCCAAAUAGCUGGGCAUUUUAAAAGAUUGUCUGGUUCCUUUCAACCCAGAGAGUGCUCAUUAAAGGGACGGGCCAGGCCGGGGGCAGUUUCCGUAUUCCGCCCAUAGUCAUACAGAGACCCCUAAAGGGUGGAGGGAUCACCAGGCUAGACCCACGCACCUGGUGCCGGUAGUCUCUGGCUGGGAGUCCGCACCAGCUUCCAGAGAGUGCCCACAAGGCUCAAGAUUGGGAGAAAUUUAAAGAUCAUUCCUCGCUCUCCCUCCUCCCCAUCCGAAUGAGUCGGCCUCUGAUUGGAUGGUCUUCUUUUCAACCGAUUCUAAUCUGCUGGUCCUGCAGGGGGAGGGAAACCAGCGGGUCUGAGUCUAGGGAGAGCUUCCAGCCUCGGCCAGAGCCUUAAAACAUGGACUUUUUUUUUGUUCUUAGAGACUCUUCCUAGUGCCGGAUCGGCCGGGGAGCUGGGGAGCCCGCUGCCGAUUGGGCAGUGUGGACAGCCGCGGAUGCAGUGGAUGAGGCUCUGAGGAAAACAGGAUUUGGAAAUUUGCCCAGAAUUAUGAAAAAAAUACUGUGCUUCAUUCUAGGACAGAAAAAAGAUGAAAAGGACAAUACCUGACCUCAAGAGACUUAAAAUAUAAUAAAGAUGGAAAAUAAAAAUAAAAAGAAGUAAAUUAACUACCUGUAUGCUAAAAAUUAUCUUUGUGCUUCCUAAGUAUGAUAAUUGUUAAUAAUUGCCGAUCAAAACAGAUUGAAAAAAAAAGAACUUUUACCCCCAUUUUAACACACAGGUAUACAUGGACCUUUUAAUAUACUCCAUGAAUAAAGGGAAAGGGACCUGUAUGUGCAAGAAUGUUCAUGGCAGCCCUCUUUGUAGUGGCCAGA